rnacentral:misc_RNA from 1 species
GGGGAGUCAAUUUAGGGAUCGCUUCGUAUUGGCAAUUUAGGGUUCGCUCCAUCAUCCGAAAUGGCAAGCUUUGCUCUCUCUAAUCUCCCAUUAUAUCUUUCUUCUAUUUAACAUAUAUGUGUUUUUUUGCAUAUUUUCAGAAUUUUUUAACCUAAUUAAUUGUCGAAACAACAAAUUUUAUCAUCUUUAUGAUUUCUUGCAGGCUGAUUCUCCACGCAAAAGGUACCACUCUGUUUCUUUAUAGAACUUUGAGGAUUUUCUGUUUAUUUGUUGCAUCGACUUGAUCCGUCUAACUUUCCGUAAUUGGUUUUAUCUUUAUUAGGGUUUUUUUGUCUGUAUUUCGCUGAUCUAUAUUUUCUUUAUUUGGUUGUUGGCCUUGUGAAUGGUGAAUACAUUGUUUUAUUCAUCAGGCUAGUUGGGAUAUCUAUGUGGUGUAAAAAAAUUGAAUGGGGUUUGUUGGAUUUUGGGGAGUUCACUUUGAUUUGUGUUUUGGAGAGAUGUUAAUGUGUUAAUCUUUUUUAAUAGAGAAAUGGUAAGGUAUGAAUCUGUUUUUGGAAGAAUUGUUUUUAAGUUUAUCAUGUAGAAUUAGUUUUCCGUUUGUUUUAUUGGGGAAUGUCACUGAAGCAUAAAACAUUUCUGAGAAUCUCAUAUUUUGUAUAUAUGGGUAAUUCUGUAUAUAAUAAAGUCAUUAAUCCUAUGCCUUACUUAUGCAAGGGAUAAGGUUCAAUUUUUUCUCUCUCUUUGAUUUGAAGUAAUGUUUUCCAGGGAACAUCCUAAUGAAGUCUCCCACUGUAUGGUCGUCAAAGAUCCUCCUACUUAUUGAUAAAAUUGGUCAUAUGCUAAGUCUUUCUUGAGUUAGAAAGUACCAAUCAACCUUUAUGGAUAAGUUUUUGGCAUUUUUUACAAGUAAAAUUGUUGAGCAUGUUAAUGGAGAACACACUAACAUAGCCUUAGCGAUGCAUUUCUGUUUUCUUUUUGCACGCAAAUAGAUCUCCAACGGAUUUUCUUUUAAGCCACUGUCUUUAGUAGUAUUAGUUGACAUAGAAAUUUUAUGAGCUACAUAUACUUGAAAAAGAUACCAUCAUUACUCGAGGAACCAUCUUUAAAGACAUGUGGUUGGUGUUAAUAAACUGGUUCAAUGUUGUACUUAUUGGACUCCCAGGUAUUCCCGCUCUCCUUCACCUUGGGAAGAAAAGUCAAGAUCUCGCUCUCGAUCCCCAACUAGAUCACAGUCAAGGCCAAGAGGAAGAUCAAGGUCCAGAAGUCAUGG